GGCUAGGGAAGGUAGACUAAACCCUGCCUCUACUUUGUGAGGGGCAAUUCAGGGGGUCUCUUUCAAAAAUUGCAGAAAAAAUCUGAGCAAAUUUUAACUUAGAAGAAACAUCUCCUAAAGGAGAUGUUUGCUGUAUUUGACCACAUGCCAAUUAGGAACUUUUUUUGAAUAAGAGACAGAGGAAGGUUAAGACUCAAAUGACAAAUAAAGAGAAAUAUUUGCUACAUAUAUAAGAGGGGAUCAAUGUCUAGAAAAUAGAAAGAACUUUAAAAAUUAAAAAUUAAAAAAAGAUAAACCAAUAAAAACUGGGCUAAGGGUUUGAUUAGGAAAUUCACAAUAGAAAUAAAAAGGAUUUAAGGUCACAAAGAUGACCUCCUUGCUGGUCAUCAGGGAAAUAAAAGUCUAAAAAAUGAAUUGAGGCUGGGUACUCAAAAAAAAGUUUGUUCAACUCAUAGUUCUGGAGGUUUAAGGGUAUGGUGCCAGCAUGAGCUCCGCUACCUCAUGGUCAACUGCACAACAAGGGAGUUUGUGCAGGAGGAAGUAAUCACAGUGCCAGACAGGAAGUCAAAGAAAGGGGAGGGGCCCGGGCUUGCUCCUUUUUUAAUCAACUCUCUCACAACCCUCUCAUGAGAACUAACUCAGGAAUCCCAGAAGAACUAUUAUAAUUCCUUCCAAAUGCAGAACUCAAAGAUCUAAAGACCUCCCACCAGGCCCCACCUCUUAAAGGUCCACACCAUCUCCUAAUAUCAUCACACUAGGGACCAAGCCCCCUGGGGGAUAAACCACAUCCAAACCAUUGUAAUAUUCAAGUUGAUAAGAGUUGAUGGCCUGGUGAGUUGCUGUAGCCCCCUGACAGAUCCUAUCAGAAUUUAAAAUACACUUUGUAUAUAACCCAGCAAUUGACCUCAUGGUAUCCACCCCAAAGAAACACCUUCAAAUGAGCAUGAAGAGGAAAGCACAAAGAUGUUU
rnacentral:lncRNA from 1 species